AGAAUCUUCCGAAAAUACGCGUCAGCGAUGUUCAUCGCAUUGUUGAUGCCUGGUCCCCUGCUCCGACAAGCAAGAGGGACAAGGGCUUUAAACUCUACAUAUCGAGUUAUCUGCACAACUACAAGGGAGCACACUCUACAAAGGCCUGACUGGAGAUUUGCCUGAUCUAUCCGUCCUUCAGAUGACAGCGGCUCGCUUCAAGAGCAGGUGAAGCAAGUUGGGACAAUGUUGAAGACAUUUGCUCGCACUGGGCAAUCAGGUGCAGAUCAAACCCUAAUGCUGCGACGUCUUGGAAUUUGGCGAUGUUGUGCGUAGCAUGGACGACAAAAUGCUAUGCUGCAACGUUUCAGUGCCAAUGUGUCUGUUGGAGAGUUAUCCCUGCCAGGGGAUCUGUUACUCCCCCCUAG